rnacentral:rRNA from 1 species
GUGCCAGCCGCCGCGGUAAUACGGAGGUUGCAAGCGUUGUUCGGAAUGACUGGGCGUAAAGGGAGCGCAGGCGGUUCGUUAAGUCCGGAGUGAAAGCCCGGGGCUCAACCCCGGAGGGUCUUCGGAAACUGGCGGACUCGAGUACGGAAGAGGAGAGUGGAAUUCCAGGUGUAGCGGUGAAAUGCGUAGAUAUCUGGAGGAACACCGGUGGCGAAAGCGGCUCUCUGGUCCGAUACUGACGCUCAGGCUCGAAAGCGUGGGGAGCAAACGGGAUUAGAAACCCCUGUAGUCC